ACUUGCAUGCUGGAUCUCAUCUCAACAUGUAGUUCAUGUGCUAGAAGUUUGAUCUAACCUGCUUUUUAAAAACUGAUUCAUGUUCAUAUUUUAAUAGGUAACACUUGAUGAUGAAAUAACCAAAUGGCCGACAUCAUAAAUCCGGAGAAUGAGGGAGACCUUCAGGCUCAAAUUGAAGAAGUCGAGGCUCUGUCCUCCAUCUAUGGGGAUGAGUGGUGUGUUAUAGAUGAAGCUUCGAGAAUAUUUUGCAUCAAAAUAUCCAAUGACUUGGAGGAGCCAAAACUGACAGCAUGUUUGCAGAUAAUUCUCCCUCCUGAUUAUCCGAGCAUAUCCCCGCCAAUCUACCAGAUCAAUGCAGCGUGGUUGCGAGGCCCUGAGAGGGCCAAAUUGGCAAACAGUCUGGAAGACCUCUAUGUGGAGCACAUGGGGGAGAGCAUCCUCUAUCUGUGGGUGGAAAAAAUUCGAGAAUUCCUCGUAGAGAAAUCCCAGAGUUCAGAAGCAGUGGAACAGUCAGAAAAAGUGAACAUGACUGCUGAGGAGGAAGUGGAUGAUGAUGAAGAUAUAAUAGACUACAGGACUUUCAAACUGAGCACAGAGAAUGCACAUCUCUUCAUGGAUCAUGUAACAGAUGAGGAGGUGCCUCCUAUAAAACAUGGAAAUGCCAUCACAGACCGACGCAGUACCUUCCAGCCUCACUUGGCACCUGUGGUGACUCCCAGACAGGUGAAAAUGGUCCUAGAGAAACUGUAUGAAAACAAGAAGAUUGCUAGUGCCACUCAUAACAUUUAUGCAUACAGGAUUUACUGUGAGGACAAGCACAGCUUCCUGCAGGACUGUGAAGAUGACGGUGAGACGGCCGCAGGGGGGAGAUUGCUCCAUUUACUGCAGUGUGUUUGUCUCUCAUCACAGAUUCUGGAUGUGCGUAAUGUCAUGGUGGUCGUGUCUCGAUGGUAUGGAGGCAUUUUGUUGGGUCCUGACCGCUUCAAACACAUCAACAACUGUGCUAGAAACAUCCUGGUGGAGGAAGGAUACGCUGCCUCCACGGAAUACGUAUGAGUCCUCAUCAGUCUAUUCUGGCAGUGUUGUGGCAGUUGUGAUCGAGGACAUCAGUAAGGACAAAACAAACUUCAGAGACCCCAUCAGUCCCAAAGACUGUUUAGCAGUGUGUCUCAGGAUGAUGCCACCAAAUCAGGAGGGAAGACCAAAAGGCCAAAAAUCAAGAAAACAAAAUGAAUUCCAGUUGAAAAAAAGAACUUUUAUUAAAAAAAGGAAAGAGAAAUUUUUUAAUUGUUUUUAGCUGACUCUGGUACCUCUACAAUUACAGAUAAUUUAUGCAGAAUCAUUACAGUAUCAGAAGGUCUUUGUUAUUUCAACUGCUCGCUUUAACUAUUCAAUUUUCAAUUCAAUUCAAACCGUGAGCAGGACCCGCUCGCAAGGAAGAACCAUCCUGCUGAUAGUCGGAUAGAAGAACGACAUGGCACGAUAGUAUCAACGACUAUAAUUGAUAUUGUAUCAGUCUGAGUGAGAGGCCUUGAAAUGAAAUGUUUACAGUUUUCAUUAAAGCAAACCAUGAGAUUUGGACAGAAGA